UCCACCACCGACCACAUCUCUCUCUCUCUCUCUUGACUCCAAUUGCUCUCAACCCCUUUUACCUCCGUUUUCCUUUGAUUUUAAUGUGAGCAAGAGCCAAGAGAUUAAUAGAAGAAUCAGAAAACAGAGUGGUGUGGAUGAAACUAUCAAAAUUGUGGAUAAAAUAUUUCUUUAAAUUUAAAUUAUUUUAGAAGAUGAAAUCCCCAUUUUAGAGGCAACACAACCCAUCUCUGUUUUCUUGCGAAGUUCAGUUGAGAGUAGUGGUUCUGCUUUUACAAACUAGGCUAGAGCAGAAAGAAAAAAAAAGGCAGUUUUUUUUCUUUGUGUGUGUGUGUGUGUGUGUGGAAGAAUGUGGGUUUUGAUCACUGGAGUUUUAAAGAAAGAGAGUGAAAAUGGGGCUUUUAAACCGACCAUUUCCUACCAUUCUGUCUUCUCAGUCUAGCGCAGUGACUCGCGAUCUACAAUCGCAGAAAAGGGGGUUGGACUUGCAGCGACGAGGGUCAUGAAAGAGGGUAGCUGGUUCACGGUGGUCGGCGGAGGAGUGACGGUGAGGGUGUAGAGGGGGCUUUUUAUAGAAGUGGAGGGUUGAAGUUGAAAAUUGGAGUAAAAAGCCAAAUCAUGCUUCACCUAGGCCCAUGCUUGAGGUCUGAGGUCUAAUCCAAAGUUUUAAAGGUAUAUCAUAUAUGUUAUAUUUUUUGUUAGGGUUUUUAUUGUACACUGGUUAAGUUCAGAUGUUCAAAGUUCUGUAAUUUUUAUUCUAUGUAGUGGAUUUGAUCUCCUUCCCUCUAUGAACGUAACCAUAUUGCCGAAUCACGUUUAAAUUA